rnacentral:rRNA from 1 species
UACACUCCUACGGGAGGCAGCAGUGGGGAAUAUUGGACAAUGGGCGCAAGCCUGAUCCAGCCAUGCCGCGUGAGUGAUGAAGGCCCUAGGGUUGUAAAGCUCUUUCACCGGUGAAGAUAAUGACGGUAACCGGAGAAGAAGCCCCGGCUAACUUCGUGCCAGCAGCCGCGGUAAUACGAAGGGGGCUAGCGUUGUUCGGAUUUACUGGGCGUAAAGCGCACGUAGGCGGACUAUUAAGUCAGGGGUGAAAUCCCGGGGCUCAACCCCGGAACUGCCUUUGAUACUGGUAGUCUUGAGUUCGAGAGAGGUGAGUGGAAUUCCGAGUGUAGAGGUGAAAUUCGUAGAUAUUCGGAGGAACACCAGUGGCGAAGGCGGCUCACUGGCUCGAUACUGACGCUGAGGUGCGAAAGCGUGGGGAGCAAACAGGAUUAGAUACCCCAGUAGUCCCAUGA